rnacentral:lncRNA from 1 species
UGUGAGUGCACCAAUUGACACUCUGUAUCUAGCUGCUCUGGUGGGGCCGUGAAGAACCUUUAUGUCUAGCUCAGGGAUUGUAAAUACACCAAUCGGCACUCUGUAUCUAGCUCAAGGUUUGUAAACACACCAAUCAGCACCCUGUGUCUAGCUCAGGGUUUGUGAGUGCACCAAUGGACACUCUGUAUCUAUCUGCUCUGGUGGGGCCUUGGAGAACCUUUGUGUGGAUACUCUGUAUCUAAUCUGAUGGGGACGUGGAGAACCUUUGUAUCCAGCUCAGGGAUUGUAAACGCACCAAUCAGCGCCCUGUCAAAACAGACCACUGGGCUCUACCAAUCAGCAGGACGUGGGUGGGGCCAGAUAAGAGAAUGAAACCAGGCUGCCCCAGCCAGCAGUGGCAACCCGCUUGGGUCCCCUUCCACACUGUGGAAGCUUUGUUCUUUUGCUCUUUGCAAUAAAUCUUGCUACUGCUCACUCUUUGGGUCCAUGCUGCUUUUAUGAGCUGUAACACUCACCACGAAGGCCUGCAGCUUCACUCCUGAAGCCAGCGAGACCACGAGCCCGCCGGGAGGAACGAACAACUCCAGAUGUGCCGCCUUAAGAGCUGUAACACUCACCGCAAAGGCCUGCAGCUUCACUCCUGAAGCCAGCGAGACCACGAGCCCGCCGGGAGGAACGAACAACUCCAGAUGUGCCGCCUUAAGAGCUGUAACACUCACCGCAAAGGUCUGCAGCUUCACUCCUGAGCCAGCGAGACCACGAACCCACCAGAAGGAAGAAACUCCGAACACAUCCGAACAUCAGAAGGAACAAACUCCAGACACACCACCUUAAGAGCUGUAACACUCACCGCAAGGGUCCGCAGUUUCAUUCUUGAAGUCAGUGUGACCAAGAACCCACCAAUUCCAGACACAUUAGCACUGGCUCCUUUUUUUUUUAGACGGAGUCUCGCUCUUUUGCCCAGGCCGGAGUGCAGUGGCGCGAUCUCGGCUCACUGCAAGCUCCGCCUCCCAGGUUCAUACCAUUCUCCUGCCCCAGACUCCCGAGUAGCUGGGACUACAGGCACCCGCCACUGAACCUGGUUAAUUUUUUGUAUUUUUAGUAGAGAUGGGGUUUCACCGUGUUAGCCAGGAUGGUCGCUAUCUCCUGACCUCAUGAUCCGCCAGCCUCGGCCUCCCAAAGUGCUGGGAUUACAGGGGUGAACCACCGCGCCCGGCCUCACUCCUUUUUAAUUACGCAAAUAUCUCUAGCAAGUGGUUGCUCCACAGCCUGCUUGUAUCCCUCUUUUGAGAAAGCUUUUUCUUUCUUUGCCACAUGGGCAGACUACAAAAUUUCCAAACUUUUAUAUUCUGCUUCCCUUUUAAAUGUAAGCUCCAACUUUCUUCAUCAUUUCCAUCUGAGACUCAGCAGCUUGGAUCUCGCUGUCCAUAUCACUAUCAGCAUUUUGGUCACAACAAUUUAACCAGUCUCUAAGAAGUUUUAAACCUUCCCUCAUCUUCCUGUCUUUUUCUGAGCCUUCCAAACUCUUUCAGCCUCUGCCUGUUACAUAGUUCCAAAAUGACUUCCACAUUUUCAGGUAUCUUUAUAGUAAUUCCCCACCCCGGUGCCAAUUUUCUCUUAGAUUGCUAUACAGAAAUAGCUGAGACUGGGUAAUUUAUAAGAAAAGAGGUUUAAUUGGCUCAUGGUUCUACAGGCUGUACAGGAAGCAUAGCAGCAUCUGCUUCUGGGGAGGCCUCAGGAAACUUCCAAUCGUGGCAGAAGGCAAAGGGGAAGCAGGCACAUCACAUGGUGAAAGCAGGAACAAGGUCAGGGGGCAGAUGCUACACACUUUUAAAUGACUAGAUCUCGAGAGAACUGAAAAGACAGUACCAAGCUAUGAGGGAUCCACCCCCAUGAUCCAAACACCUCUGGGCAGGCCCCACAUUCAGCACUGGGGAUUACAAUUCAACAUGAGAUGUGGGUGGGGACAAAUAUCCAAACUAUAACAGCCUAUAAUUCACAUUUUAUCAUCAAAGGAGCAAAUAUUAUUCUUGGGGCAAAACUGAGUAAAUAUUGUCGUCCCACAUGGAUGUGAACUAUUUCUAGUCUCUUUCCUGAUAGAAGUAGGGGAAAAAAUGCAUUUACUAAAUCAGUGGCUGUGUAUUAUGUACCUCACACUUAGUACCCCUACUGUGUGCAGUCAUUGAGUGGAAGUAAACCAGAAAGUGGCCUCAGUGUGAGAACUGAGGUGGAUCCAAAAAUGGCAGCUGGCUGGGCAUGAUGGCUCACACCUGUAAUCCUAGCACUUUGAGAGCCCAAGGCAGGCAAAUCACUUGAGGUCAGGAGUUUGAAACCAGACUAGCCAACAUGGUGAAACCCUUUCUCUACUAAAAAUACAAAAAAUUAGCCAGGCGUGGCCGGGCACAGUGGCUCAUGCCUGUAAUCCCAGCACUUUGGGAGGCCGAUGCAGGCAGAUCACCUGAGGUCAGGAGUUCGAGACCAGCCUGACCAACACAGUGAAACCCCGUCUCUACUAAAAAUACAAAAACUAGCUGGGCAUGGUGGCUCGCCACUGUAGUCCCAGCUACUCAGGAGGCUGAGGCAGGAGAAUCACUUGAACCUGGGAGACGGAGGUUGUAAUGAGCCAAGAUUGCACCACUGCACUCUAGCUCGGGCUACGGAGCAAGAAUCUGUCUCAAAAAAAAAAGAAAGAAAGAAAGAAAGAAAGAAAGAAAGAAAGAAAGAAAGAAAAAGAAAAAAUUAGCCAAACAUGGUGGUUCAUGCUUGUAACCCCAGCUACUCAGGAGGCUGAAGCAGGAGAAUCGCUUGAACCUGGCAGGCAGAGGUUGCAGUGAGCUGAGAUUGUACCACUGCACUUCAACCUGGGCAACAGAGUGAGACUCCAUCCCCACUCCCCCACAAAAAAAACAGCAGCUAGAGGCUGGCCAGGGAACUAUGUUUCUCAUAGAGGCCUGCCUGCCUGCCUGCCUUCCUUCCUUCCUUCUUUCCUUCCUUCUCUGUUUUUCUUUGACAUGAAUUAAAAAAUAAUUUUCAUUAUGUAUGCAUUAACAUUGUUUUACUGUGGCAAGAACACCUAACAUGAGUUCUACUCAAUGGCAUUUUAAGCGCACAAUGCAGUAU